rnacentral:rRNA from 1 species
UACGUAGGGUGCAAGCGUUGUCCGGAAUUAUUGGGCGUAAAGAGCUCGUAGGCGGUUCGUCGCGUCGGCUGUGAAAACCCGGAGCUCAACUCCGGGCCUGCAGUCGAUACGGGCGGACUUGAGUGUUGCAGGGGAGACUGGAAUUCCUGGUGUAGCGGUGAAAUGCGCAGAUAUCAGGAGGAACACCGGUGGCGAAGGCGGUUCUCUGGGCAUGUCCUGACGCUGAGGAGCGAAAGCGUGGGGAGCAAACAGG